GUUAUCGGGGCUCGGGUCGCGGUGUGGAAUUCGUCGAAUUCGACAACAUUAAUUUGUCAGAGCAGCGAACAACACAGAUUAAAAACGGGUCGCGCGACGCGAACGAUCUGAUAUUUUCACACGCACUCGAAAUUUCGACGUAAAGUUUCGGUCGCAAACGACGGAAGCGCUGCUGGCGGGUACGGGCCACGACGUUAUCGCCACCGCAAUAUUGGCUUUCUAUAGUUUUUUACGCACUUACGAAAACAAAAUAAUAAUAAUUUAUUACAAGUAAAAUACUAAUAUGAUGAACAGUUCACGAGAGGAGUUAACGUUGAUCGUUACGAUGUUAUUAUUUUCAUAUACAAUGGCAAAGAUGUCCCAGCAAAACAGAAACGAAUUAAAAUUGAAAAUUAUUUGGAGGCUUAGAGAAAAAUGAAAAACAUUGAGGUACAACAAUGUAAAGAGUAUUUGUUAAGGGUAUUAAAAGCCUUCCAAUAGAUACAAAAUGUAUUGUCUUAGCUACAGUUGAAAAUGCAGUUAUUCUCCAAGACUAGUUAAAUUAUGAUACGCUCGUGUUAGUUUUCAGAAGUAUCGAGUAUGGACGAUGAAUAUGCUUCAAGUAUAACAACAGAGAUAUCUCACUGACAAUAAUCAAGAAUAAAGGAAUGAACUAGUUGCAUUUGAUUUCAACAUCAGUUUAAAAUUAAAUAAGUCAAUUAAGCAAACAUUUUUAAUUAAUUUUGUGUUAUUUCAUUUUUGUUUAGAUAUUUUUAGUUAUUUUUGUUUGUAUUAAAACUCUAGUUUUAUGAUUUAACUGAAUCAAUCUAAAACGAUUGUUAAGUAUAAUUAAAUCAAAAACAAAUGUUAAUUAAUGUUUAAGUUUAAAUUAUGAAAAUAACAGAUUACAAUAUAAUAAUAAC